rnacentral:rRNA from 1 species
AUUGAACGCUGGCGGCGUGCCUAACACAUGCAAGUAGAACGCAGUUGCGCACGGGUGAGUAACGCGUCGGUAACUUCCUCAUUGCGGGGGAUAACUAUCGGAAACGAUAGCUAAUACCGCAUAUUGUGAGAUGGAUCUGCGUUGUAUUAGCUAGUUGGUGGGGUAAAGGCUCACCAAGGCGACGAUACAUAGCCGGCCUGAGAGGGUUAUCGGCCACACUGGGACUGAGACAGGGCCCAGACUCCCACGGGAGACAGCAGUUGGGGAUCUUCGGCAAUGGACGGAAGUCUGACCGGGCAACGCCGCGUGAGAUAAGAAAGUUUUCGGAUCGGAAAGAUCUGUUGUAAGAGAAGCGGUAGCUAGCCAGGAAGGGACGGCUAACUACGUGCCAGCAGCCGCGGUAAUUC